ACCAAAAUAUAGCAAUAGCUAAUUUUGAAGCACAUCUCAAUAUGUUUAAUAAUACAUUUACAGCUUUUAACUUUAAUUUCCAGAAUUGAAAUUUCAGUACUAAGAAAUGAAAUUGGAGAACUGAGGCAGCUGUUGGAUCAAAAAUGACUUUGACAGGUUAUUCUUCUUUACUCAAAUCUUCCUAUCAGAAACUUUCAGGCUACUCUUGGAAAAGGUCAGAAUCUAUCCUAACAGUUACAUAAAAUAGUACAUUUAUGCUGAAUCUUGGCCAAUUCUCUCUAAGCGCAUUCCUGUUGGAAUCCAUCCAUCAUCUAUAAGAACCCCAAAUGAAGAAGUAAUCCUGUAGACAUUGAUAGCUGAGCUCAGAGCCCUCAGCUAACAUCAAAUGUAACCAUGCGUGUGAAUCACCUUGGACAUGUAGUCUUGUAGACCCUUCAUGUCAGUGCAUCCUUAGCUGGCAUCAAAUUACAACCUCAUUAAAACACCAGGAAAGAAUCUUGAAUUUAAGCUGUUACCCCCACAGAACACACUGAGUUUGGGGGCUAGGUUAUAUGAAGUUAUAUUCAACCCAAACUAUCACUAAGAAAAUGUUAGCAUGGUCCCAUAUCAAUACCAAC
rnacentral:lncRNA from 1 species